UUAGGUNCGNCCCGCUGAAYUUAAGCAUAUCAGUAAGGGGAGGAAAAGAAAUCAACUGAGAAUCCCUUAGUAACGGCGAGUGAACAGGGAAAAGCUCACCAGUGAAGGUGGCUCAUGUCACCGGUGUCUGGUUGGGAUUGGUACUAUGAUAGUUGCAAAUGACAUAUGAUAUCUGCUGGAAAGCAGUAUCAGAGAGGGUGAAAAUCCCGUAAAUAUGUAAUUGCCUCUAUCCAUGGUCCAGUCUAAUGAGUAGAGCUAUUUGAAAGUGUAGCUCGAAGUGGAGAUAUGUCUCUCCAAAAGCUAAUUAUUAUGCAAGUCCGAUAGUAAACAAGUACCGUGAGGGAAAGUUGAAAAGCACUCUGAAGAGAGAGUGAAAAGUACGUGAAACUACUGAGGGGAAAAUGAAGAGAACGUUAAAGUUUCCAUUGCCAUCUCGUCAUGAGAAGGCUCGCGGAAUUUGUUGCUGCUUCUAACCGCCAUUGGUCAAGACUCCAGCUAUUAAUUGCUUCGGCUUUUAGUAGUGGUUGUCCUCCAAGAUCGGAUUAGAUACCCCUGCUUUGAGUGGGUGGAAUCAGCAUCAUAAUCAAUGUUCUCUCCAACCCGUCUUGAAACACGGACCAAGGAGUUUGCGUUGCUCGCAAGUGAUUGCGCUGCUUGAAAGCGUACACGCGUAAUGAAAGUAAUUGUUGCUUCUCUUCGGAGUUGUAAUUUUACUAUGUGGUGAUAGCACUAGAACAGUGUCUGGCAACCACGGGCGGUCUUACCACCAUUGGUGUUUGAUCGACCUUGAGCGAGUAGCACAAGACCCGAAAGAUGGUGAUCUAUGCUUGGGCAGGGCGAAGCCACGGGAAACCAUGGUGGAGGCCCGAAGCGGAUCUGACGUGCAAAUCGAUCGUCUGACCCUAGUAUAGGGGCGAAAGACUAAUCGAACCAUCUAGUAGCUGGUUUCCUCCGAAGUUUCCCUCAGGAUAGCGGAGGCUUGCUUGAAACAUGCGGUAGCAGUUUCAUUGGGUAAAGCGAAUGAUUAGAGGCAUAGGGGGAAUUUAUUUCCUUCACCUAUUCUCAAACUUUAAAUCGGUGAGAUGUCCUUGUGACUUGAUUGCACUCGGACUAUGAAUGCAAGCCUCCAGUGGGCCGUUUUUGGUAAGCAGAACCGGCGAUGAGGGAUGAACCUAAAGUUGGGUUAAGGCGCAAAACUACUUGCUCAUGAGUAACCACAAAAGGUGUUGAUUGAUAUUGACAGCAGGACGGUGGCCAUGGNAAGUUGGAAUCCNGCUAAGGAGUGUGUAACAACUCACCUGCCGAAUCAAUCAGCCCUGAAAAUGGAUUGCACUAGAGCUCGUGGCCUAUACCUGACCGUGAAUGCCAAUAUCUAACAAGGCCUUGGUGUAUGUGUUUAUGACUGGCAACAGUUGUACUCGCACACACUUUGGUUAGCCGUUAGAAAGGGGAAAUGCGCAUCUGCAAUAGAUGUCGUAGAUUAUGCAUUCACGAGUANGAGGACGCAGCGGUUGCCGAUAAAAGGAUGCGCCGUGAGCGUAUUNCCCGAAGCGAUUGCUGGGCGCCAAAAUCUUGGGUGGGAAGUAGCNAGUACUUCCAAAUGGAGAACCUUUGAGGACUGAAAUGGAAAAAAAGGUUCCAAC
rnacentral:rRNA from 1 species